rnacentral:lncRNA from 1 species
AGGUCAUCAACGAUCUCCACCACCACAACAACCACAAGCACCACGCGGUUACGCAACAUCAUUACCUCCAAUAGCCAAACCAACUCCAUGGAGAAACGCUCCAACACCAUCACCGCAUCGCCGUGGUGGCCACCGGACGCCACCACCUUCAAGAGACCAAACAAACACAGCCACAUGGUCAGCUGCAUUCUGCUGUGCCAUCUUCUGGAUCAUUCUUAUCCUCAGCGGUCUAGUCGUCCUAAUCGUCUACCUAGUGUACCGUCCACGCUCUCCUCACAUCGACAUCUCAGCCGCUAACUUAAACGCCGCUUAUCUCGACAUGGGGUUUCUUCUAAACGGAGACCUAACCAUGUUAGCAAACUUCACAAACCCAAACAAGAAAAGCAGUGUAGAGUUCAGCUCUUUGACGUUCGAGCUUUACUACUACAACACUCUUAUAGCGUCUCAGUACGUUGAGCCUUUUAAGGUUCCUAAGAAAAUGUCCAUGUUUGCGAAUGUUCAUCUCGUGAGUAGUCAAAAUCCAAAUCAAGCCUCGUGAUCGCCACGGUAAACGACCAGUCCAAGAACCUCCUCAUUCCGUGAUACCUGUACCACUAAGACCAGAAGAGAGACUACCACCACGGGAAACUCCAAACUCUUCCAAAAUACCAGUACUAUCAAGCCCUGAAGAGAAACGACCACCACGGAAAAACCCAAACUCUGCUAAAAGACCGUUACUAUUAAGCCCUGAAGGUCAUCAACGAUCUCCACCACCACAACAACCACAAGCACCACGCGGUUACGCAACAUCAUUACCUCCAAUAGCCAAACCAACUCCAUGGAGAAACGCUCCAACACCAUCACCGCAUCGCCGUGGUGGCCACCGGACGCCACCACCUUCAAGAGACCAAACAAACACAGCCACAUGGUCAGCUGCAUUCUGCUGUGCCAUCUUCUGGAUCAUUCUUAUCCUCAGCGGUCUAGUCGUCCUAAUCGUCUACCUAGUGUACCGUCCACGCUCUCCUCACAUCGACAUCUCAGCCGCUAACUUAAACGCCGCUUAUCUCGACAUGGGGUUUCUUCUAAACGGAGACCUAACCAUGUUAGCAAACUUCACAAACCCAAACAAGAAAAGCAGUGUAGAGUUCAGCUCUUUGACGUUCGAGCUUUAC